rnacentral:rRNA from 1 species
UACGUAGGGUGCGAGCGUUGUCCGGAAUUACUGGGCGUAAAGAGCUCGUAGGUGGUUUGUCGCGUUGUCCGUGAAAACUCACAACUCAAUUGUGGGCGUGCGGGCGAUACGGGCAGACUGGAGUACUGCAGGGGAGACUGGAAUUCCUGGUGUAGCGGUGGAAUGCGCAGAUAUCAGGAGGAACACCGGUGGCGAAGGCGGGUCUCUGGGCCGAAACUGACGCUGAGGAGCGAAAGCGUGGGGAGCGAACAGG